AUACUAUAAAUAUAAUAUACAGUAUAUGUGUGUUGAGACACUUAUGUUCAAAAUAAGAAUUUUGGCUCUUGCUUUAACAGUCAAAAGCAGGGUGUUUGUGUGCAACUUAAGUGUCAUGCACAGUGUGCGAACUUUGAGUUUCUUACAUUUUUGUCCGACAACCAAUCUUUUCUACAUUUACAAACUUGAAUUUCUCAUGCAGUUU